AUUGAACGCUGGCGGCAUGCUUUACACAUGCAAGUCGAACGGCAGCACGGAGAGCUUGCUCUCUGGUGGCGAGUGGCGAACGGGUGAGUAAUAUAUCGGAACGUGUCCAAUAAUGGGGGAUAACUAGUCGAAAGAUUAGCUAAUACCGCAUACGCCCUGAGGGGGAAAGUGGGGGAUCUUCGGACCUCACGUUAAUGGAGCGGCCGAUAUCUGAUUAGCUAGUUGGUAGGGUAAAAGCCUACCAAGGCGACGAUCAGUAGCUGGUCUGAGAGGAUGAUCAGCCACACUGGGACUGAGACACGGCCCAGACUCCUACGGGAGGCAGCAGUGGGGAAUUUUGGACAAUGGGCGCAAGCCUGAUCCAGCCAUGCCGCGUGAGUGAAGAAGGCCUUCGGGUUGUAAAGCUCUUUCGCAAGGAAAGAAAACUUACAUGUAAAUAAUGUGUGAGGUUGACGGUA
rnacentral:rRNA from 1 species